GGUACUAAAAGUCGCCC
rnacentral:misc_RNA from 1 species